rnacentral:rRNA from 1 species
UCUAGCAAAGCCAAGUAAAUCUAAUUUUUAAGAAUUAUUCAAUAAAGGUACAGCUUUAUUGAAAAAGGAAACAACCUAAACCUUAGGAUAAUGAAUAUUUUUAAAUAGGUAAAAGGCCAAGUUGGCCUAAAAGCAGCCAUCUUUAAAGAUAGCGUCAAAGCUUCACCUUAAACACACCUUAAAUCUCAUUAUUUUUUUCAUAAUCCAACAAUUCUACUAAGCCAUUCUAUACUUUUAUAGAAAAGUUUAUGUUAGGACUAGUAACACAGAAUAAUUUCUCUUACAUGUAAGUUUAAAUCAACCCGAAUACCUCCUUGAUAAUUACUCAAAUUUGAACCUUAAGUAGUACCUAUCAAUUACAAAAACCCUACUUAACUUAUUGUUAAUCAAACAUAUGGAUAUGAAAGAAAGAUUAAAAAAUUAAGAAGGAACUCGGCAAACACAAGUCCCGCCUGUUUACCAAAAACAUCGCCUUUUGAAAAGUAUAAAAGGUAACGCCUGCCCACUGACAAUAUGUUUAACGGCCGCGGUAUUCUGACCGUGCGAAGGUAGCGUAAUCACUUGUCUUUUAAAUGAAGACUCGUAUGAAAGGCAUCACGAGAACUUAGCUGUCUCCUUAAUUCAAUCAGUGAAACUGAUAUCCCUGUAAAAAAGCAGGGAUGAUAACAUAAGACGAGAAGACCCUGUGGAGCUUAAAACAUAAACUACUUCUAUACUCUACUAACUUAUAGUACUAAAAUACAAACCUAGCCUAAGUUUUCUGUUGGGGCGGCUGUGGAGAAAAACUUAUCCUCCAUGAAGAAAAAACUUUGAUCUACCGCUCUUAGUAUUAGCAAGCCUAACUUAAAUUGAUCCAAUUUUUGAUCAACGGACCAAGUUACCCCAGGGAUAACAGCGCAAUCCAUUUCAAGAGUCCCUAUCGACAAAUGGGUUUACGACCUCGAUGUUGGAUUAGGACAUC